UACGUAGGGUGCUAGCGUUGUCCGGAUUUAUUGGGCGUAAAGGGCUCGUAGGCGGCGUGUCGCGUCGGGAGUGAAAGCCCGCUGCUUAACGGCGGGUUGGCUUCCGGUACGGGCAUCGCUGGAGUGCGGCAGGGGAGACUGGAAUGCCUGGUGUAGCGGUGGAAUGCGCAGAUAUCGGGAAGAACACCCGUGGCUAAGGCGGCUCUCUAGUACGGUACUGACGCUGAGACGCGAAAGCGUGGGGAGCGAACAGG
rnacentral:rRNA from 1 species